rnacentral:rRNA from 1 species
GACGAACGCUGGCGGCGUGCUUAACACAUGCAAGUCGAACGAAGUGGCGAACGGGUGGGUAAUACGUGGGUAACCUGUCCUCCUUUUUGGGAUAAGACAUGGAAACGGGGUCUAAUACUGAAUAAAGGGGGUGGGGCUCGCGGCGUAUCAGUUGGUUGGUGGGGUGAUGGCCUACCAAGGCGGUGACGGGUAGCCGGCCUGAGAGGGUGAACGGGCACAGUGGGACGGAGAUACGUCCCAGACUAGUAAGGGGGGCAGCAGUGGGGGAUAUUGGACAAUGGGCGAUAGACUGAUGCAGCGAGGCCGCGUGGGGGAUGAAGGCUUUCGGGUUGUAAACCUCUGGAGCUAACGAACGGGUAGGUGGAGAAGAAGCGCCGGCUAACUACGUGCCAGCAGCCGCGGUAAUUC